UCAGCGCACGAGGAGCUGGUAUCGGCAGUAUGGAUAUUUAGUAUCGAUCCGCACGUCACUAGCUGUCACGUGAUAGCUGAUCGCCGUCAUCGUUCUCACAGCGUACCGAAAACAACCAAUCAGAAAGCACAAAAUGUCGAGUGGCGGUAAAGCCUGCACUCACGGGACAACGUUGCGGUUGCUUGAGUCGCCGUGAGAGAAUGUUAAGACAACGUUCUUCUUUGGUUUGGUUCUAACUAGCCAAUGUUUUUUCUUUGUGUUAGCUGCGAGUAAGCCUCAACUUGGCGACGACGAGCUAGCAAGCCGUUUUUGGCCGACAAGAAGCGACGACGUUCAAGGUUGUGCCUCAGCUGCCAUUAUUCCAAGUGAAUCCCGCCCCUUCUGCUACAUAGCCAAGAUGGCCGCUCGUUUGGGUGAAGCCAUCGCACUACACGAGAUGUCGUUCCAUGGACCCCAGGCUGGACAAAGACAGGGGACGACAUUCAGCGUCAUGCUGAGACAGACGUUAAGAUGGAGAUGUGUCGUCCAACUUACUGCCAGAGUUCAUCCACACGCAGUUCUCGUCGUUGUUAUAUUUGUCGGGCUGACCCACACGCCAUGGACUAUACUCCACUGGUCCACUUCCAUCAGCCCAGUGGAAACCACCACCAUCCUGAAAGAAAGACAGCAAUUUGGAGUUCUUCACCCACUCAUCAUGAUCAGUGUGCUGGCUGCUUACUACUCCUCUCAGAGCACCGAUCCAGUAGUGGAGUCGAAAUGGGAAGAGCUGUAACAUCAUACACAGCAGCUUCUUGUGCUCGUCCUCAUUUUGCACUUUGACCAAAUUACCUUGGAAAAUUCGACACGUUUGCUGAGAGGUGGACAAUGAAGAAGUUUAGAACCAGAAGACGUUUAAUGCUGCUGCUUUUGUUUGCUGAUGUUUCACCUGCGCGUUGGCCCAGUCCUUUUCCAUGGUUAAUAAUUUGACACAGCUGUUUUCAUUCAGGCGGUACACUCCACACACUUCACUUUCACAUUCUUCCAGCUCCAUGUUGGUACACAUAGUAUUCAACAUAUUGAUGUCAUCUGUCACACACAAACACUGUCAGUUCUUGUCUGCCGCGCGUCGGAAUCAGUAUUGCAGAUGUUUUGCUUAUUACAAGAUUGAGCAAAGGCCGACACGACCAUCAGCGCCCCCAUCAGGAGGACGGAUGUCACAGCAGAAGGCAUGGCUCGGGAUGACUCGGACCUGGGAACAGCACAACGCUCAUUUUUCUGCAUCAACCUCUGCCAUCUUACUCUUCUACUCACCGCAGAUGUGUCGAUUUCAGUCUGCCUCCGCCGUCUUCAGCCUUCCACCGAGAUCCCGGCUCUUAAAUACUUUUCAUGCCGCCUGCAGGUCAACCGUUACAUUUGAAGAUUGAUGGCAGCGCCUUUGUUUUCUUUGGUAAAUUUGAUCAGGCAAAUGCCGUUAACGUCUGAUUUAGACACGGACUUGGUUGUCAGUUUGAGGCCGGAAAAAUAACGUUGCUUACCUGCAGCCAUCUGGUGUGUCCUAUUGCAUUGCUUAUUCAAUCCAUAGUUGGCACUGAAUGUCUGCGCUCUGUCACAGUGGUUAAGAUUUUGCCCAUGCAGACUGCAUAUAGAGCUGAAAACAAGAUGAAAAGCUGCGAGUGAAAAAUAAGCAACACAAGGACGUCUGCCAACCACAGACAGGCUGUGUCUCAAAUGGAAUACUUGCCAGUACAACUUAUUCAUAUACUGUGUACACUGCGUACUUGGUUCCUGAGGGUGUAAUUGUGUAGUGCUGUCAUUGCACACUUAACAGAAAUGGCAAUUCUUCUUCUCUCCUUUUUAACUGAGUGGCAACCACUUCCGUUACACCAGGGGUCUCAAACUCAUGGCAGCCGUAUUUUGUGGCCCUCUACUUGACGUCGAAGUUUAAUGUAGCCCACACACUCUAGAGCAGGGGUUCUUUACCUUUUUGACGACGAGGCCCGAUUUUUUUUUCAGUGCCCAUUAAAUAUGCACACUGUAUAGAUUUAAUUGAUCUCAUUCAUUUGUUUUCACUAAUAAAUCAAAUCCACUCCCAGUUUAACAAGCUAAAACCUGAAUAAAGUUUAAUGACAUGACAUGAUCAAAUCUGAUCAUCAGAUUGUCAAAACGUAACUUUUGAUAAUAAUUCAUGGAAUAACUCAAGCAAGAAAAAAUGCGAAGGCUUAAGUCCGGCUUAUUAAUAAAAAAGACCAACAUUUACAUUUUACUUUUAAAAGGGUAAGAAGGAAAAGUUGGUUACACUGGCACCACUUUUGUCUUGAUUUUUUCAUUUGAAAAACUUCUCCAUUGCUACAUGUAGUUGAAUGUCUUCUUCUGAUCUUCCGUGAGCAUGUUAAACAACGGACUGACACAUUACCGCCACCAUCUGGUGUGUACCCAUGCAAAGUAUUCAACAAACAACAUCGUUAUUAUGAAAAUUCCAGCAAGAGAAUCUGCCUCUGAAAGGAUCCGUGAACAUCCAAUCAGGUUUAAGAACAAACAAGGGUGUGGAUUGCCACACUGGUCUUUUGCUAAAAGAAUAAACCAGUCCAAAUGCAUUCAUUGCAUUUGCGGCUAAUGCACUGCAUUUUUGUACUCGCUGUC